rnacentral:rRNA from 2 species
CACGUAGGGGGCGAGCGUUGUCCGGAUUUAUUGGGCGUAAAGAGCUCGUAGGCGGUUUGGCAAGUCGGGUGUGAAAGCUCGAGGCUCAACCUCGAGACGCCACUCGAUACUGCCAUGACUGGAGUCCGGUAGAGGAGUGUGGAAUUCCUGGUGUAGCGGUGAAAUGCGCAGAUAUCAGGAGGAACACCAACGGCGAAGGCAGCACUCUGGGCCGGUACUGACGCUGAGGAGCGAAAGCGUGGGGAGCAAACAGG